rnacentral:rRNA from 1 species
CCUACGGGAGGCUGCAGUGGGGAAUAUUGCACAAUGGGGGAAACCCUGAUGCAGCGACGCCGCGUGAGUGAAGAAGUAUUUCGGUAUGUAAAGCUCUAUCAGCAGGGAAGAAAAUGACGGUACCUGAUUCAGAAGCCCCGGCUAACUACGUGCCAGCAGCCGCGGUAAUACGUAGGGGGCAAGCGUUAUCCGGAUUUACUGGGUGUAAAGGGAGCGUAGACGGCAGCACAAGUCUGGAGUGAAAUGCCGGGGCUUAACCCCGGAACUGCUUUGGAAACUGUGCAGCUAGAGUGCAGGAGAGGUAAGUGGAAUGCCUAGUGUAGCGGUGAAAUGCGUAGAUAUUAGGAGGAACACCAGUGGCGAAGGCGGCUUACUGGACUGUAACUGACGUUGAGGCUCGAAAGCGUGGGGAGCAAACAGGAUUAGAUACCCUGGUAGUC